GGCCCGCUGUCCCUGCCCCAGUGGCGGGGGUGGCGGGCGGGGAGGGGGCAGGCGCGGCACAGCGGCGGCGUGGCCCUGAGUGGCCAGGCGUGUCUGUCGGUCUCGGCCCAGCACCUGCAGGGCCCAUCCGUGGGCUCUGCUCCCGGGCUUCGCUACCAGCCUUAGGAGGCACGUCCAGGUCAGGUGGACGCAGAGUGCGUGCCCCCAGGGUGGUCCAGGCUGGGUAGGGCUCUUCUGGUUAGCUCCUCCCCACCUCUUCACUCAGGCCUUCAUCUUACAAAUCGGGAAUCCAGAAGGUUUGGGACUGGGCGCCAUGGCUCACGCCCAUAAUCCCAGCACUUUGGGACGCCACAGCGGGAGGAUCGUUUGAGGCCAUGAGUUUGAGACCAGUCUGGGUGACAGAGUGAGAUCCUGUCUCUAAAUAUAUUUUUCAAAAGACAGUCUCUAUCCCUGUCCUGUGGUAUACAGCAUCCAGGGAAGUGCCCAGGGAGCGGGGCAGGCAGAGGUCUUCCUGCCUGCACCCCACCUAGGCCCAGUUCCUGCGCAGGGGCUUGGCCAGCCCUGGCCAGCUUCCCUCUGAUGAUUGCAGGAAGGGAGUCAGACGUAGAACUCCCAGGAUGCAGAGGCCUGCGGGGUCUGAAGGGCCUCCUCCCUCUCCAGUGUGGUGACUGGGCUGAGCAGAUGCUGGGGCUGAGAGUGUCAUGGUGGAGCCUCCGUCCCUGCUCAUCCUCCCCUCCUGUUGCUUCUGCUCCUGAUGGCUCUCUCUGAAAUGCAGCACAGCGUCCCAGGCCAAUGGAAGAAGGCCCAGAGCUGGCUCCCUGCCUGGAAGCACCAGGAUACCCACGCAGGCAUCCUGAGAAGGCGUGGGGAGCAGGCUGCCUUCAUGGGGGGAGUGCCAGGGCCUGGGCACCCACACCCCCUGACCCAAGAGGGCCCGGGCACCUGUGUGCUGGCCUUUUCACUGACCCUCACUGUCUGCUCUCUUUGUGUCUCUCUCUGACCUCCAGAGGCCUCCUUUCUCUCUGCCAGGAACAGUAGCCCCCCCCCAGCAAGUUCCUCCUUUUUCUCCAGCCUGCAGCCUUCGGCCUCUCCCGUUCUGCUCCACAGCCUGGCUGCUGCACACUCGCCUCUCUCUCCAGGCCCCCCGGGUUCCCUCCGCUUCUCUUGCUGCCUGUUCUCUCCUUUUGCAGGUUGCGUUUAUUGGCUUAUCUCUGGGGGUUGGUGCUCUCCCUUGUUUCCAUUUAAACUGCCUGGCCCCAGAAGGCCCAAGCAGCUUUGAGCUGCAAGGGCAGGACCAUGCAGGCCACCGCUACCCUGCCGCUUAGCAGCAGGGCAGAAUUUCUGAUUCGGUUUAUUAGAGACCUGGUAUGGCAGUCUCUAGACCCCACAGUUGGGCUGGCAUCCGGGCACAGGACCAACACCCCCACACUCCAGAGGCGAACUGUGGAAGUCUGGAGGCUGAAACAGAGAGUCCCACCUUCCCCGAGUCUCCUGGAUGCCAUCUCACACAGAUGCCAUGUGCUGGUCCCAUGGCCACACUCCGGCACUCAGCCCCAUUGCCCGCCUCACUCCUGAGUUGGGGCCACUUUCCAGUGUCACCAGGUGUGAUCAGGGGCCCAGAGCCAGCGGCCUGUGAGAGCCCAGGGGUCUUUGGUCACACCUCCUGCAUGCGCCUCCCGACAGCGCCCACCUCACUGCCACCCAGAGCUCAGGCCCAAGGGAGGGUGGAGGGGACUGAGGGACAGGCCUGGAGUAGGGGUGUAUGGACUGCAGGCUGAGAUGAGCAAUUGAGGGUCAAGUUGCCAGCAGGAGGGAGAAACUGGGAACAGAGUCCCUGUCACUCCAGGGGAAGUUGCUGCUCACUCAGCACUCAGGGGCCCUGGGUGCCAGGCCCAGCUCUCAGGGCAGAGGGCGUGGCAGGGAAGUGAGAUGGUCACACUCAGUUCAGUGAGAGGCAGUGAGGAAAACUGCCAGUGAGACCAGCAUAGUGGCUCACCCCUGUAAUCCCAGCACUUUGGGAAGUCAAGGCAGGUAGAUCCCUUGAGCUCAGGAGUUCAGGACCAGCCUGGGAAACAUAACAAGACCCCAUCUCUACAAAAA